AGAGUUUGAUCAUGGCUCAGAAUCAACGCUGGCGGCGCGCUUAACACAUGCAAGUCGAGCGAGAAAGGGAGCAAUCCUGAGUAAAGCGGCGUACGGGUGAGUAACACGUGGAUCAUAUACCUUUUAGUGGGGAAUACCCUUGGGAAACCGAGGACAAUACCGCAUAAUCCCGGGAGGGGAAAGCAGCAAUGCGCUGAAAGAGUAGUCCGCGGCUGAUUAGCUAGUUGGUAGGGUAAAGGCCUACCAAGGCUGUGAUCGGUAGCCGGCCUGAGAGGGCACACGGCCACACUGGCACUGAAACACGGGCCAGACUCCUACGGGAGGCAGCAGUGGGGAAUCUUGCACAAUGGACGAAAGUCUGAUGCAGCGACGCCGCGUGAGCGAUGAAGCCCUUCGGGGUGUAAAGCUCUUUCGACAGGAACGAUAAUGACGGUACCGGAGAAGAAGCUGCGGCUAACUACUACGUGCACAGCGCGGUAAUAC
rnacentral:rRNA from 1 species